AGUGAACGCUGGCGGUAGGCCUAACACAUGCAAGUCGAACGGCAGCACAGGAGAGCUUGCUCUCUGGGUGGCGAGUGGCGGACGGGUGAGGAAUACAUCGGAAUCUACUCUGUCGUGGGGGAUAACGUAGGGAAACUUACGCUAAUACCGCAUACGACCUACGGGUGAAAGCAGGGGACCUUCGGGCCUUGCGCGAUUGAAUGAGCCGAUGUCGGAUUAGCUAGUUGGCGGGGUAAAGGCCCACCAAGGCGACGAUCCGUAGCUGGUCUGAGAGGAUGAUCAGCCACACUGGAACUGAGACACGGUCCAGACUCCUACGGGAGGCAGCAGGUGGGAAUAUUGGACAAUGGGCGCAAGCCUGAUCCAGCCAUACCGCGUGGGUGAAGAAGGCCUUCGGGUUGUAAAGCCCUUUUGUUGGGAAAGAAAUCCAGCUGGCUAAUACCCGGUUGGGAUGACGGUACCCAAAGAAUAAGCACCGGCUAACUUCGUGCCAGCCGCCGCCGUAA
rnacentral:rRNA from 1 species